UGCACGCAUGGUAGGAGAGCGUUCCGUAAGCCUGCGAAGGUGCGUUGAAAAGCGUGCUGGAGGUAUCGGAAGUGCGAAUGCUGACAUGAGUAGCGAUAAAGGGGGUGAAAGGCCCCCUCGCCGUAAGCCCAAGGUUUCCUACGCAACGUUCAUCGGCGUAGGGUGAGUCGGCCCCUAAGGCGAGGCAGAAAUGCGUAGCUGAUGGGAAGCAGGUCAAUAUUCCUGCACCAUUGUUAGAUGCGAUGGGGGGACGGAUCGCGGAAGGUUGUCCGGGUGUUGGAAGUCCCGGUCGCUGCAUUGGAGAAGGCACUUAGGCAAAUCCGGGUGCGUAAUUCAAGGGUGUGGCGCGAGCUCCCUCGGGAGCGAAGCAAUUGGAAGUGGUUCCAAGAAAAGCCUCUAAGCUUCAGUCUAACGAUGACCGUACCGCAAACCGACACAGGUGGGCGAGAUGAGUAUUCUAAGGCGCUUGAGAGAACUCGGGAGAAGGAACUCGGCAAAUUGGUACCGUAACUUCGGGAUAAGGUACGCCCUUGUAGCUUGA
rnacentral:rRNA from 1 species